CUGUGCAAAGGCCCUGAGGUGCGGAUGGCUCGGGGCUUUUAAGGACAGGAAGGGGCCAGUGUUGGAGGAGGAGAGAAGUGAGUGUGGGAGAGGAUGGGGCCAGGGGGCGCCAGAUCAGUCUUGGGGGGGAAUUGGAUUUGGUUCUGUGGUGGGAGCUGUUGGAGGGUAUGAGCAGGGAAUCCUCUGAUCUGACCGACAUUUUAAAUGUGUCAUGGUGGUGGUUGCAAGGAGAACAGACAGGCAGGGCCUGAGAGGAAAGGCGAGACUGGUUGGCGCUGAGCAUCUGACGCAGUUGCCCAGACAAGAGGGCCUCGGCUUAGGUGGCAGCAGUGGGGGCGACGAGAGGGCCGACGGAGGCCUCUGGCCUGACGGAGCAUCAUGUGUGCCGGGGUGAGGUGAGCAGAACGGAGGCCAAGUUCAGUUCACUCGGGCGCCCGGUCUCCCCACGGCGAGGCUGAUAUGCUCUGAUGUUGGUGUCAAGGCCAGUCUGUGCUGCUCAGCAUGACUUAGAACUCGUCUCGGGACCAGUGCCGAGGAUUCAUCUUGUUUUGAGCAGAUGCUGAUGGGAUCUGGGAUCGGGGCGUCGAGCAGAGCUGGGUAGACGCAGCCAAGGGGUAUGUUUGCUUCUCUCCUCUGCUCCCUGUGGGCGGAGGAGAGCAGGUGAUGCUUUGUUGGCUUGGUCAGAUAAGUGGAAUACUGUCCCCACGCAGCACCCCAAACACCCCUCUUUCCCACUAAAAAGAGGCGUGACGUCACCUCAUCCUCCUCCCACAAGAGGAACCCGCGUCCUUGCUCACACUUCUGUGUCACGUGGCCUUAAAGGGUUGCCAGGGCUCUUCCAGUCCUUGGUACCAUUACCGCCUUAUCCUGUGAAUGAUGUGGGGUAAAUGGAUGGUCAGCUGGAGCUGGAAUGCUUGGCCUCUGUGUUUCUGUGUGUGUGGUUGUGUUGGGUUUAUUGAUUCAUAAGUGUAUAUGGACACCUACCAAUGUAUUGUCACUGCCAAGGGCCAGCGAUGGAAAAGGACUAGCUCCUUCCCCGUAAGGCACUUGUUUUCUCAUCUUGUGGGCAGCUAAGUGUUUAUGCUCUUAGCUCUUCUUUGUGCCAUGGACCCUUUGGUAGUCGGGUGAAGACGGUGGACCUCUUCAGAAAGAUGUUUUAAUGCAUCAGUAAAAUACAUAGGAUCUCCAAGGGAACCGAACAUAUCGAAAUAUGGUUAGAAAAAUGCGUUAUCCUAAGGUAUAUUUCUGUACUAAAUCAUUAAAUAUCAAGAUUUGGGAGUGGUCUAAUAAAGACUUCGAUUUUGAGGUACUGAUGAAGGUAAGCAGUGCUGGGAGCUCUUUCUGACAACUCUAACCUUGUGUUAAUAUAGCUUUUGUUGGAGUCACAGGUAUUGCUGAUACUACCAUGGUGUGCUGCUUACAUUCAUAAUUGAGAAAAAUGUUAAAUUUCAGUUAGGGGCUAAUGAAAUACAGAUAUGUGAUUCUUUUUCUUUCUUUUUCUUUUGGCUUUUGAGGGCCGCAUCUGCGGCAUACGGAGGUUCCCAGGCUAGGCAUCUAAUCAGAGCUACAGCUGCCGGCCUACACCACAGCCACAGCGCGCCAGAUCCCAGCCGCGUCUUGGACCUGCACCACAGCUCAUGGCGAUGCUGGAUCCUUAACCCACUGAGGGAGGCCAGGGAUUGAACCUGCAACCUCAUGGUUCCUAGUUGGAUUCGUUUCUGCUGCCCCAUGACGGGAACUCCUGUAAUUCUUUUUUCUAGUCCAAGUUUAUGAACCCACCCACCCCACCCCGCCCUGAAUUCAGGCCGAGAAUUCCAGGCUUGAUGGUAAGAUUAAUUUAGUUAAUUGUAUUUUGGAGGGAGAGAAUGACUAACAGUGCUGUUUAAACAGACUUUAUAAUUAUUAUACUGUCAUUGUCAUGAAUUGGUUCUUCGAAUUUAGCUGAGAGGAGCGGCACCCCAAGCCAGCGUGAGAAUUAUCGAGUGAGCAGUGAAGGUAUUUAGAGGCACGAGCGUGGAGGGUAAGGCUGUCGGUUGUGGUUUGACAGCCACGGUGCUGUCUGCAUUUUUUCAAGGCCGGGGCUGAGUUUCUCCUGAGGUCCUGGGGGAGCUGAUUCACCUCUGCCUGCCUUGGAGUCGAGCGAAACUGCGAAUUGCACCUCCUGAGUCCUGUAGGUGGGACUCAAGCGGGGCUGCCAGUUCGCCUCUUUUCCCUUUCUUGUUUCUCUGGUUGGUCAUAAGCCGGCCUGGAGUCUGCAGGGAGAGCUUCCCUGUGAAGCCGUGGACUAAUGGGAAGCAACUGCCCAGAGUUUUGUGUUGUUUUCCGUGAGGUUACAUGUUUGAAAUGAGGCUGGUGUGGUGUGAGUGCAUUUGGGGUAUCAACAGAGUGAAAAGUGUCAUUGUUGGUAAGUGUUGGGUUUUUUGUUUUUUGGUGUUCUCUCUGGCCUAUUCUGUUAGCAUUAAUUGGGCACUUAUUGUGCGCCGUGCAAGCUAUAAGUUGUUCACGCAUAUGAGCUCUUAGCUUAUGUAAGAUUUGCAGAAACCCCUGGAAGGUCCAGAGAACCUAAGCCCCUUUCCAAGAUCGCAGGGCUAGGAAGAGGUGGAGCCAGGAUUCAAACUCAAGCAUUUUGACACGUGCGUCAGCUCUGGUCGCUGCCAACUGCCUCUGUCAAAGGCCCGAAGAGGCCCUCCACGUGCCGCCUUGCUCUUGCCGUCCGUCUUGGCACGUUGCAUCUAUCGCACGUCCUGAGUGGACACUUCUGGGGAAUCCUGCCGCAGGGCUUCCUCUUUGCUCCCUUUGUCCUUGUUGCUUCGGGAGCGGCUCCUCUCUACCCUUCACUGCUCUGCUGACGUGCCCAGCCCUGCAGAGCCGGGGGCCCGGGGCGCCGCCCACAGCCUGGCAGGAGGCCUGUCCUACUAGGGUAUCGUCAGUGACCUCAUCCCUCCACGCAGAGCUGGAGGCGGCUCCGCGGUGGGGCUGUCUCCGCAGCUGUUGGCGAUCACGUCGAGGGGCUGAGGAGGUCAGUCGCCUGUAAUGAUGGAUUCCCUCGGCUUUCAGGAUUCUAGCCAGGGUGUCCGGGUUUGGGCCCCCCCUUCUCUGGUUUCCCAGAAGAAAGCACAGUCUCACUUGAGUUUGUUUUGUUUUGUUUUUUAACAUUAACGACACCAGUGGCCAACAUUUCUUUGAGACUUAAUUCUGGAUUAAGGACUCUGCUGUAUUUGAUUUAUUUUUUGUCUCUUUAGGGCUGCUGCACCCACGGCACAUGGAGGUUCCCAGGCUAGUGGUCCAAUUGGAGCUAUAGCUGCUGGCCUACACCACAGGCAGCACAGCAACACCAGAUCCGAGCCGAAUCUACAACCUACACCCUAGCUCACAGCAACGCCGAAUCCACUGAGCGAGGCCAGGGAUCGAACCCGCAACCUCGUGGUUCCUAGUUGGAUUCAUUUCCGCUGUGCCAUGACGGGAGCUCCGACUCUGCUGCAUUUUAAAUCGAUUGUUUUGAUUGUUGCACCCUUGCAGCUGUCCUGCGAGGUGUGGGUCGGGUUGUCGCUUCUAUUUUGUAGUUGAGGAAGCUGAGGCCCAGACAGGUUACAGACCCGCAGGCAGCCACCCGUCCCACGACUGGCGGGGUUAGAGCAGCCUGAGAUGGGCGUGGCUCCUGCCUCGCCCUCCCCCUCGCUCAAGGCCUCCUGCGGGGGUCUCUGUGGUGCCGAAGACCCAAGACCCGCUGCAGGUGCUUCUCUGGGCGUCCUUAGCGCAGGUUGUGGAUCUUCCACAGGCCGGUCCGCGUUGUCAGUGACGGAGGAUGCGAGGUCACCCAGACGGGGCGUCAGACUCACCCCUGGGGAGAUGCUUAUUAAGAGGCCUAACUGCCUUGGAGUGAGGUAAAAGGACACAGCUACCCCCCACCCCCUGUCAGCGCCGGGGCCUGAGGACACUGUCACAGCUGCUCGUGACGGACUCCAGAGCCACGUAGGCAGUGAUCAGGCCCGUGCAGUGCUCCCUGGCUGCCUGCAGGUCUGGGUUUGGAGAGGCGACCGUCGAAGGGUGAGUCCUGAUGGGCAGAGGCGUCAGCGCCGUGCUGCCAUCGAGGGGCUUCGGGGAGAUCCCGAGACGAAGGAGAGCGUUCAGUCCUCGUACGGGCAUUAUUCCUCUGAUGGCCCUGGCCUGUCCCCAGCCAGGGGUUGCACCCCGGGCGGCUGAUUUCCCUGGUCGCCCCUCGGUGGCCUCCGUGGUCCAGUGGAGGGUGGCUGAGCAGUUUCUCCUCAGUCCGAGUCUGCAGCAGCUUUCGCCGCCUCUGACAUGCGUUACUUCUCCCGACCGGCUCCUCCGCGUUCUGCUGGUUACUCGUGGGCAUCCUUCUCUAGAGGGUAGAGGUGAAAUAAACCUCUCCCUUCCCGCUUUAAAGGUCCCCUCCCUGCAGAUGUCCCUGGAGCCCUUACGGGGGUUGGCCCCUGAGCUGGCGUUUCAUUGGAUGCAUCGCUGCUUUCGGUUCGGGGCACGUGGGGCUCCGUGGUUGGCUCCGUCUCACCUCGAGGCUGUCUUUCCAGUC
rnacentral:lncRNA from 1 species